GCUGAUGUGGCGCAACGGUAGCGCAUCUGAUUUGUAAUCAGACGGUUGCAGGUUCGAUUCCUGUCAUCAGCUCCA
rnacentral:tRNA from 1 species